GGAGAGAUGGCUGAGUGGACGAAAGCGGCGGAUUGCUAAUCCGUUGCGUCCGUUUGAGUUUCGUCG
rnacentral:tRNA from 2 species